GAUGAACGCUGGCGGCGUGCCUAAUACAUGCAAGUCGAGCGAACAGACGAGGAGCUUGCUCCUCUUACGUUAGCGGCGAACGGGUGAGUAACACGUAGAUAACCUACCUAUAAGACUGGGAUAACUUCGGGAAACCGUAGCUAAUACCGGAUAAUAUAUUGAACCGCAUGGUUCAAUAGUGAAAGACGGUUUUGCUGUCACUUAUAGAUGGAUCCCGGCGUCAUUAGCUAGUUGGUAAGUUAACGGCUUACUAAGGCAACGAUCAUAAGCCGCCCUGAGAGGGUGAUCGGCCACACUGGAACUGAGCCACGGUCCAGACUCCUACGGGAGGAAGAAGAAGGGAAUCUUCCGCAAUGGGCGAACGCCUGACGGAGCAACGCGGCGUGGGUGAUGAAGGUCUUGGGAUCGUAAAACUCUUUUAAUAGGGAAAAACAAAUGUGUAAGGAAAUAUGCACGCCUUGACGGUACCUAAUCAGAAAGCCACGGCUAACUACGUG
rnacentral:rRNA from 1 species